GCGAUGAAGGGUAAAGAGGAAGGGGGGGUUCCGCCCCAUAAGUAAUGCAGAUAAGCAUUGAAGCACUCCGCGUGGGGAGUAGGGUCGCAAGGGUGAAACUUAAAGGAAUUGACGGGGGACCGCACAAGCGGUGGAGCAUGUGGUUUAAUUUGAAGCAACGGGAAGAACCUUACCAGGUCUUGACAUCCUUGGACAAUCCUAGAGAUAGGACGUCCCCUUCGGGGGCAGAGUGACAGGUGGUGCAUGGUUGUGGUCAGCUCGUGUCGUGAGAUGUUGGGUUAAGUCCCGCAACGAGCGCAACCCUUGAUCUUAGUUGCCAGCAUUCAGUUGGGCACUUUAAGGUGACUGCCGGUGACAAACCGGAGGAAGGUGGGGAUGAAGUCAAAUCAUCAUGCCCCUUAUGACCUGGGCUACACACGUGCUACAAUGGACAGAACAAAGGGCAGCGAAACCGCGAGGUUAAGCCAAUCCCACAAAUCUGUUCUCAGUUCGGAUCGCAGUUUGCAACUCGACUGCGUGAAGCUGGAAUCGCUAGUAAUCGCGGAUCAGCAUGCCGCGGUGAAUACGUUCCCGGGCCUUGUACACACCGCCCGUCACACCCCGAGAGUUUGUAACACCCGAAGUCGGUGAGGUAACCUUUAUGGAGCCAGCCGCCGAAGGUGGGACAGAUGAUUGGGGUGAAGUCGUAACAAGGUAGCCGUU
rnacentral:rRNA from 1 species